rnacentral:rRNA from 1 species
GUCAAGUCAUCAUGGCCCUUAUGACCAGGGCUACACACGUGCUACAAUGGCCAGUACAAAGGGUCGCCAACCCGCGAGGGGGAGCCAAUCCCAUAAAGCUGGUCGUAGUCCGGAUCGCAGUCUGCAACUCGGCUGCGUGAAGUCGGAAUCGCUAGUAAUCGCGGAUCAGCCACGCCGCGGUGAAUACGUUCCUGAGCCUU